rnacentral:rRNA from 1 species
UGGGGGAUAUUGCACAAUGGGCGAAAGCCUGAUGCAGCGACGCCGCGUGGGGGAUGAAGGCCUUCGGGUUGUAAACUUCUUUUGCUCUGAACAAGGCAUGCUAAUGGGUGUGUUGAGUGUAGGGGUUGAUUAGCGCCGGCUAACUACGUGCCAGCAGCCGCGGUAAUACGUAGGGCGCGAGCGUUGUCCGGAAUUAUUGGGCGUAAAGGGCUUGUAGGUGGCUGGUUGCGUCUGUCGUGAAAGCUCAUGGCUUAACUGUGGGUUUGCGGUGGGUACGGGCUGGCUUGAGUGCAGUAGGGGAGGCUGGAAUUCCUGGUGUAGCGGUGGAAUGCGCAGCUAUCAGGAGGAGUACCGGUGGCGAAGGCGGGUCUCUGGGCUGUUACUGACACUGCGGAGCGAAAGCAUGGGGAGCGAACAGG